UACGUAGGGGGCAAGCGUUGUCCGGAUUUAUUGGGCGUAAAGAGCGUGUAGGCGGCCAGGUAGGUCCGUUGUGAAAACUCGAGGCUCAACCUCGAGACGUCGGCGGAAACCCUCUGGCUAGAGUCCGGAAGAGGAGAGUGGAAUUCCUGGUGUAGCGGUGAAAUGCGCAGAUAUCAGGAGGAACACCAAUUGCGAAGGCAGCUCGCUGGGACGUAACUGACGCUGAGACGCGAAAGCGUGGGGAGCAAACAGG
rnacentral:rRNA from 1 species